rnacentral:misc_RNA from 1 species
UUCAACUCCCACCUCGACGCCCGCAAGCCCCUCUUCAUCUCCAGGGUCGGAAAAGACAAACCCCUGACCACCCGCUCGGUCCGGAACAUAGUCAAAAAGUACGCUCGUGCCGCCGGCAUAAUCAAGGCCAUCUCCCCGCACUCCAUACGCCACACCGUCGGUACCAACAUGGCUAUGAACGAGGCACCUCUCUUGGUUAUCCAGCAAUUCCUCGGCCACGCCGACCCCAAAACCACCAUGCGCUACAUCCGACGCGCCGAAGAAUUGGCAGCAAGAGC